rnacentral:rRNA from 1 species
AUUGAACGCUGGCGGCAGGCCUAACACAUGCAAGUCGAACGAGUGGCGGACGGGUGAAUAAUGUCUGGGCAACUGCCUGAUGGAGGGGGAUAACUACUGGAAACGGUAGCUAAUACCGCAUACCAUCGGAUGUGCCCUGAUGGGAUUAGCUAGUAGGUGGGGUAAAGGCUCACCUAGGCGACGAGCCCUAGCUGGUCUGAGAGGCUGACCGGCCACACUGGAACUGAGACACGGUCCAGACUCCUACGGGAGGCAGCAGUGGGGAAUAUUGGGCAAUGGGCGCAAGUCUGAUCGAGCAAUGCCGCGUGUAUGAAGAAGGCUUUCGGGUUGUAAAGUACUGUCAGCGGGGAAGCGUUAACUGCAGAGGAAGCACCGGCUAACUCCGUGCCAGCCGCCGCGGUAAUUC